ACAUUUAAGAAUCAGAAGCAGACUCACUCAUUUUCAGUUUUAAGAUUGUAAAGAUAGGCUUCUUCCAUCUGAUACAAAUUAGAGGACACAAAAUGUAAAUGGUGGACCAGCUCAACUAGAGGAAACUUCCCGAUAGAUUUAUCACUUCCAUCCCUCCAUUGGAGAAGACUUUUGCAGCCAACAAGGAUAAAAGAACAAGAUGGAUAUUUUUGGUGGACAGCCAUUGGGAAAGAACAAAAUUCCGUGGAACUUCAUCUGUCUUCUCUUCAUUAUUGGAAUAAUUGGUGGGAAGGUUAAAGCAACUUGUAAAGAUAAAUGUCCGUCAAUCUCUGUCCAAGUCUCCACCAAUCAGAUAACAG